UUCUCAGUAGUAUAACGGUUAGUAUUCGUGCUUGUCACGCGCGAGAUCUGAGUUUGACUCUCAGCUGGGGAG